GAGUUACUCGUGCCCCUGUGCAGUCGAUUUUGACCAAGUGAAUUCUGAUCGUGUUCAGUCCUGCUCAUGGCACACAACAGGCUCAUUAAUUUCUGUUGCUUGUUUUCGCUUAUCUGUUUUGGACAACUGACUAGACAACCAAUCACAGUGUAAUGUUUGUGACCUAGAUCUUUACAGUGAGGGUAGCAGUUGCGGGGUUUCUCAUUCGUUAACAGUACGUAAUGAUGACAAAGGGGGAUCAGUGAUCCGCCUCUGCACACUACGCAUUCAGCCGUGUGGGAGAGGAAGACAGAACUGAGAAAUGGGUCACUGACCCCGCGAGUGAACGUGUUCUGAUCGGAAGUCUAUCAUCCUUAGCCUGAAAAUCGGCCUAUGUGAUCGUGGACAGUUGAGUGUAUAUUGGCCGCAGAAACGUGAGGAAUUCCGAGAGACAAUAUAGCUUUGCUGGUGUUAUUCCUGCGUUGCAGGAAUUGGAGUGGAUUGUUAGACAUUCAAGUCUGUAGUGGGAAAGGCUGUGCUUCAUUUAUUAAUUGCAAUAGAAUUCUUUGUGGAUAAACAACUGAAUUUUAUACCUGGGGAUAGUGCCUUCCAGCUC